rnacentral:rRNA from 1 species
UAGGGAAUCUUCCGCAAUGGGCGAAAGCCUGACGGAGCAACGCCGCGUGAGUGAAGAAGGUCUUCGGAUCGUAAAACUCUGUUAUUAGGGAAGAACAAAUGUGUAAGUAACUAUGCACGUCUUGACGGUACCUAAUCAGAAAGCCACGGCUAACUACGUGCCAGCAGCCGCGGUAAUACGUAGGUGGCAAGCGUUAUCCGGAAUUAUUGGGCGUAAAGCGCGCGUAGGCGGUUUUUUAAGUCUGAUGUGAAAGCCCACGGCUCAACCGUGGAGGGUCCUUGGAAGCUGGAAAACUUGAGUGCAGAAGAGGAAAGUGGAAUUCCAUGUGUAGCGGUGAAAUGCGCAGAGAUAUGGAGGAACACCAGUGGCGAAGGCGACUUUCUGGUCUGUAACUGACGCUGAUGUGCGAAAGCGUGGGGAUCAAACAGG